GCAGAAUAACCAUAGGCCCAUUAGUGUCAACUGUCUUUGCCAGUGGAUGGAUCCACACUGCAAAACUUAUGAAGAUGAUUGCAAACCGAAGAAGAGUCCUUGGACAAAGCAUUAAACCCUCUUGGUCCCCACUACACAGACUAAUGACGUUGAAGUACCCAAAUGAAGACACUAGCAGUGUUAUUAUGGAGUAUAUGGAUACAGACGUUGGCAACACUCAGGAGGUGAUCCAGAGGAAUCAUGGGAAUCUAUGUCAUACGAUUUGAAGGU